GAUGAACGCUGGCGGCGUGCCUAAUACAUGCAAGUCGAGCGAAUGGAUUAAGAGCUUGCUCUUAUGAAGUUAGCGGCGGACGGGUGAGUAACACGUGGGUAACCUGCCCAUAAGACUGGGAUAACUCCGGGAAACCGGGGCUAAUACCGGAUAACAUUUUGAACCGCAUGGUUCGAAAUUGAAAGGCGGCUUCGGCUGUCACUUAUGGAUGGACCCGCGUCGCAUUAGCUAGUUGGUGAGGUAACGGCUCACCAAGGCAACGAUGCGUAGCCGACCGGAGAGGGUGAGCGGCAACACGCGGACGGGGACACGGCCGAGACUCCUACGGGAGGCAGCAGUAGGGAAUCUUCCGCAAUGGACGAAAGUCUGACGGAGCAACGCCGCGUGAGUGAUGAAGGCUUUCGGGUCGUAAAACUCUGUUGUUAGGGAAGAACAAGUGCUAGUUGAAUAAGCUGGCACCUUGACGGUACCUAACCAGAAAGCCACGGCUAACUACGUGCCAGCCGCCGCAGUAA
rnacentral:rRNA from 1 species